UACGUAGGCAGCAAGCGUUGUUCGGAGUUACUGGGCGUAAAGGGUGCGUAGGCGGCUUCUUAAGUCUGGUGUGAAAUCGCCCGGCUCAACUGGGCGGGGUCAGCGGAUACGGCUGAGCUUGAGCAAGCUAGGGGCAAUGGAAUUCCGGUGUAGUGGUGGAAUGCGUAGAUAUCGGGAGGAACACCAGAGGCGAAGGCGGCUACCUGGACAAUUGCUGACGCUCAGGCACGAAAGCGUGGGGAGCAAAAGGG
rnacentral:rRNA from 1 species